GCCAGACCAGUUUCAAUAGCUCACUUGGAAGAGCGUGAGAUUCUUUAUCUCAAGGUUGUGGGUUCGAGCCCCACGUUGGGCA